GAUUUAUAAAGCCUCUAUAUUUGGGUUGACAUCCUUAAGAUUUAUUUUUAUUUUUAAGUUGCUUCGCAGUCAAGGAGAAAUGAAGAAUUUUGGCCACUUUUAAUUUAAAGGUGUUACCUGAGUUUACUCUUUUAGACUCAGGAACACAGUAAGUUAGUUUCAACUUCGUAGUCAGUACCUGGUGACCUGGUGAAUUCCCUUUCUCCUAGCUCUGCCUGUUUUCACAGUUUAUUAAAUAGGAAUCCUAAUACACAUCUCCCAGGGUCUUUUCACCUUACAGAAAUGCAGUCUUCAUGAAAUUAUGUCUGAAAGAUGUGUUAAGGCUUUCAAAAAUGCAACUACAAAGUAUGAUUGAUGCAUUUCUUCCUUUUCCUGGAUCAGUACGCCUAAAUAAGGCUUGAUCACUAAUUUGCUUGCGAAUGUGCAGUUUAUUAAAAAGCAUCCACAUGCAUGGCUAAAUUUAAUAGACUUUACCUUUUACUUACAAAAUUGUUAAAUGUUCUUUGGAACAUUGAUUCUAUCCCAUUUCUUGAAAUAUCACAGAAACCUUCAAUUCAAAGAAUGGAUUUUCACAGGUCCCCUUUUAACUUUUUUUUUUCUCUUGAUACCUUGAUAUGUGUGCCCUUUAAUUUUGAAAGAUCUUUACAAUGGGGUUGGGGUGGGGGUUAAACUUAUUACCCUGCUUUUUUAGCGCCCACUUCUUUGUCUGGGAAGCAGAGGGCUCGGAUUCAGUGCGGGCAGCCCCUUUUAAAGACCCAGACCAGGGACGCUUCAGGUUUCUGCAGCUUCACUCCGCGGAGUUAUUGAUUGCUGGCAGUAGCAAUCUCUCAGGUUGAUUUGUGUGGAAAGUGAGUCCUCGCUGGCUAGGCAUACAGCAGAGACGCAACAGCCGCCAAGCCAGCCAAUUAUUGCCGGUCCUCCCUUCUAUCACUGCCCUCGCUACCUAUACACUCCCUUCCGUGUCUUUCUCCACUUCCCCCACCCGCGUUCCCCGCGCGGACGGAGCUGAGGGGGCGGGGGCUCCCUCCCGGGAGCGCUUCUAGAGCUCGGAGGCAGCUCGUAGGGGCUUGACAGUCUACAUGUUUAAGUCUACCAGAAAAAAAAAAAAAAAUCACUGGAUAUGAAGUUGCAAUACAGAUCAAAGUCUGCAUCCACAUCCUCACAUUGGUGACCUUGGGGCACCACUUUCAGAUAAAAACAUAGACCUGAAUGGCAUCAUCCAGUAUCCAAGGAAACCAUGCUCUGGAAACCAAGAACAUCAUUCCUUCAGAAAUGCUUUAUGUCUCAGGCAUUAUACUUGACUCCAGUGUGAGCCUAUGGUGGUCCUUACUGUCCUGAAGUCCAGUGUGGGGAUAGAACACUUAGCAGGGCCACACUUGAGGGAAAUACUUCAAAUUUUUGGCAACACAUUACAACAGCAGUAACUCCAAGUAACUUUCUGAAAUAAGGGAUCAACAGUUCUUACAGUACCCUGGAACAUAAUUCACCAUGGCCAGGAUGAAUCUGCUGUACACAGGAGUGAUCCUUCUAACCUGCCAUGUCCAUAGUUAUGUGAGAAUCUAGGAUGGAGCUGAAAGAACUGUAUCUUCCUGGAUCAUACCCAAAAGGUCUCUAAGUGCACUGAUGACAGGAAAAUCUUCAGUGGUUCCAGAGACAAGCUGCUGGAAAUCCUGCACAUUUAUUUUCUAGAAGGAAAUGAGCUGAUGAGGAAUAAUCCCUUCAGAGAUCCUCCCUUUAAAAAACCUUAAAGGACUCCAAAUUAAAGCAUAGCCAUUUCUGGGACCCUAAAGUGACUCAAAAAAAGGAAACAUCACUUACUUAAUGUUAGGUGAAUUUCAAAAGCCUUAAUAAGGGGAGAGCAAAGGUAGGGAGAAAGAUGGUGAAUAAAUUGUGAGAACCUACCAAGUAAAGAAAUAUCUUUUAAAUUCCACGCAUCAUGUUUUAUUUCACUUUGUAUUUCAAUUAAAAAAGGAAAAAUAUGCAUUUUAAAAAGAUAUAUUUUUUGCUAUUAAUAUUAGCACUUAAUGUCUGAGUACAGAUCCAUCAUUCAUUAGGUCUACAGUAGCCCACAGCCCUAAUUUAUAAAUUCAUAAUCACAAGUCAGAUCAACUCAAUUGCUCAAGGCUGUGUAUUUGCAAGUUAGAGUAUACACUGCAAAUUUCCUGUCUUUGGGCCGGUAUACUGAGCAAUGGUACUUUUUAAAAAGAAUUUGCUCAUAUCUUAGAUUUAACAGAGUUGAAAAUGUUUAACCAAUAUCACUCAUGUAAUAUAAAGUGUAAAUUUAAGCAGUGUUCUAGAAAAUUCAAGGCAAAGUAGUUUAAACCAUUUGGCUCUUCCUAGAGGUUCUGAUUUUUUUUUUUAACCUGAAAAAGUAGGUAAUUACUCGAUAGCCUUAGCUCUAAAAUAUAUCUGACAGGUUAUUUUUAUUUGUUUGGUUUUCAGAAAUCAUAUCCAUGUUUUCUACUCUCUGUAGUCUUAGCAAAAUGAAUCAAAGCCACUCUGUAUCCAAAGGUAACACUAUGGUUGUCUUUUUUUUUUUUUUUUUUUUUUUAACAUUGCAGGCUUUACCUCAAGUGCUAUGCAGUAAAUUUACAGGGAAAGAAAUAUUUUAUUAAAUUAUAACUGAGAGGAGCGGAUUUUUUUUAUAUAGCAAACAAAAAAUUCCUUCAUGAAAGGUUAUAAAACCGAUAUUAUUUACCAGAGAGACCUUUCCUGUCUCCCAGGUAAACACUUACAGUGUGUAGACUUGUGUAAAUACAUAUUUAGGAGUGGCUAAAUAUGGCGAGGUAUUUUUAAAGCCAUAUUUACAAAGCUGAAUACAUAUAUUGGCAUUUUGGAAUGUGUAAGCUGGGCAUGCUGCUCUGCUGUCUAUUCAGAAUUCUAGCAGGACGCUGCUAGAUACACCUCAGAUAUGGGGACCGAAUUUCAAAACAUUCAUCUUUAAUCAGAAUUACUAAAGACAGGUCCUUAAAUCAUUUCAAAAGUGUGAAAAUUUUCAACUAAUGGAGUUCAAGACUUUCUCACCAGUUUGACUUGAGGAAAAUUGUUUCAGAAAUGCAGGCGUCAUUCAUGGAAAUAAAAUUUCUUUUCUGAACAUCUUUGUGUAUAACCAUCAUUUCACAUUCAAUUGAGAAUAUUAGCAAAUACUCAAAGAUAUGGUCCAUAUGAUAAAUAAACUGCCCAGAAAAUUUUAGUUAAGGGGAAAAUACCACUAAGAUAUUUUUAAAAAUAUGUUAGAAAUACCUGGAAAUGUAAGCGAUACAAUAUUUUUUGUUGUUAAUUCAAUGGCAGGAAGCUUUGAUAAUGUAGUGAAACUCCGUCUAGAGGAUUCAUGAUGUCUAUGUGCUGCUCAGUUUCUUGGGCAAGUGUUCUCUAUAAGGAAAAGAAGGAGAUGAGCACAGAGAGGUUGUAGAUGCAGGAAAGAAUACUAACUGUACCUCUGUUCUCUGCUCCUCCUCAGAGUGAAUAAGGACCCCAUUUGUGUAAAAGCCCUUUUUAAAAUGGAGAAGCUCAGAGUCCGAAUAACUCCAGAACUUGCAUUUUGGGCUAUCUCAGGGGUCUUUUGCUAAGAAGUCUAAACAAUGCUUCGAUUUCACUUGUAAUGCAAUAUACAACUAUUUCUAAAUGUUCUCAAUAUCCUGCAAUGGGAUUACUGAAAAUCUCAUUAUGGUAAACUAUAUAAGGGACAAAGACUAUUUAUUCAGGAAAAUAAUUUCUUCAACAAAAUUUGAACUGAGUUGAGUUUUUUAAUUUUACAGAAAUAUACAUCAUAUGUUUCCCCAAGAUAUACACACCACAAAUUUUGCUUAAACAUUCUGGGUUCUAAAACUUAAAAUAUCAUUUUAAUUUAAAAUAUUAUCCCAGUACUAGAAGGCCUCUGGAAUGUAGAAGCUACUUCUAAUACAAGUGCUGAUACAAUUUUAGCUUUAACUGAAUGGGUGCACCAUAUACAUAUUAAUUAUACCAGUAUCUUAGAUAUGGAAAACAAUCUUUCCCGGCAAAAGAGAGUCUUCAUUUAAAAAUUGUUAAAAAAUAUGAGCAGGCACAAACACCUUUGCAUUACAGUUUUUGUUAGUUUUACUCUGUCUUUAAUUUUAUUCUGUGGCUAAGUAUCUAAUUUCCAUGUAAACUUCCAUUAGGAACACAAAUUGCUGACACCACAUCUACUGACAGAAAUGCCACAACAUAAAUUACACCAAGAAAAUGCCGCUUUGGGUUGGGGACACGGCAGAGGGAACUAAGCUAGAUAAAAAGCCACUGUGCUACUGCCCAGCCUGCAACCCUGUCCCGCUGACCACUGAUAAAAUUUAUCACAGGGCCACAUACGGGAAGGCAGCUUAAAGAAGAGUUGUCUGUGGUAAAACGUGUAACAGCAAAACAGCUAAUGGAGCAUUAUUACUUUAUUGGAAAGCAAUAUCUCUGGAUGCUUCACUUUUCUAGCCUUAGCAAGGGUAUGAAUUGUUCUUCUACAUGCAGAAGAGCUGAUAUGAAAAAGAAAUUGAUAGAACUCUGAAUAGCAGCAGUAGGCAACUCCUGGGCGCACACCAUCACCACUCUGUCCAGGAUGCUUAACCAGUAGCUGGGUGAAUGAAUUCCAACAAAGUUAAAACCAAUCUGAAUCUUCAUCCUUGAAAAAAACACUGUUCUAAAGAUCUAUGUUAAUGGUUUCCUUAUAAAGAAGCAGUCUUAUAAAUUGUGGCUAAUUACUGUUGUCACAAUUCAGUCCUGCCAUUAGUAGAAAGUAGAAAUACCCAAACUCCACCAAUAACAAACUCCACUCAUGCAUUAUGAAAUUUAAGAACUUUGUCAUUGCAUGGGGCUUAUCCUUUAGGGGUUGAAAGAAAAGAGGUUGGGUAAAUUUGCCACAUGUAUUGGACGGAGUUGGAUGGAUAGAAUGGUUACAAAUAAAAAAUGAUCAAGUAGUGUGGUGCCUUAAGUGCCAGUGAAGACACUAGAACGUUUGGAGAAACAAAGGAGCCUCAUGAAUAACCUACAGCUGAGAGAGCCCGAGUGACGUCAUCAAGGGUUUCCAGACGCGGCUUUCCCUCCGGGUGAGAACGAGCAACUCUUCGCGAACAAGACAUCGCUGAGAGAGUCCUGGAACACUGGGGUGAGGCUGAAGCACCCCCUGCCUCACAGAGACCAGGAUAGACGGCACAGAAGGUAAGAGAAGUGGCUACGUCUCAGGGUUGCCCCUCCCUCGGCCAGUGCAGGACCAGGCAGAGAGGUCUCCCUGGAGGCUCUGGGUCCUUCAAUGGGAAAAAUGAUUAGGGUACUGGAGGGUUUGGUUGUUCUUAUCAUCUUUGCUACCCUUAAGCUGUGUCUUAAAACACUUAUAAUUGGACAUGCAUGGUGUGGAGGAGGGGCCGGCCCCUUCCUACGUUCCUUGGAGAAGUCAGUGAUUUUGGAUAGGCUUCCUCUAGUUAAUGGAAGAGAAACUGCUUUGCUACCUAAUGGAGUCACUUUAUUCUAAAUCUGUCAGUAACUGUAAAGGACAUUAUAAGAGAGUAGUUUUCACUUCUAUGUGGUCAUUCUUAAAAGCCAGGAAUUUCUCAUCAAUGUUUUCCUUUUUAUUCAUUGUUAAUGCCAUGGUAUAUAUAAUACCUUUAUGAAGCUGCUUAUGUACCUAGCCUCUGCUGUUCCUUACGUUGUAUUUCAUGUUUUCUGCCUGGUGUUUAAAGCACUACUUUGUUUUUCCUAAAUAUAUCCAUUCAAGCUGUAAGGGAAAUUUGAAUAUCGAAGUCUCCAGGAUUUUGUGAAUAAUAAUAGCCACUCUUUAUAUAUGCUAGGCACUGAUUAGGAGUUUUCUGUAUGUUAAUUCAUUUAGUCCUCAAGAAACUGUAUGAAAAGAGUUACCGUUUUCUUCAUUUUAUUAAAAUGGAGUUUGAGGUUUAAAGAAGUUGGUAAAGUUGAAUCCAGGUCAGAUAGCUGCUAGAUUUGUUCACUGAAAUAUAAUAUUUUGGGUUUUAUGUGUAGAUGAUAGAUUUUUUUCAAGGCUGCACACUUAGAGUAUAAAACAGGCCUUUUUACUUUGUCUUUCCUGGGCAUAAUGAACGGCGUACAGUAAGCACCAUGCAUAAGCAUACAUGGAAAUGGGAACUAUAUAUUGCCUUUUUAUUAACAGAUAUUCAGCAAGCCACUUCUUAGAGCCUCAAUUGCUUCAAAUAUAAAUGUGAGAAAUAAUCCUUUAACAGUGUGAAGACAGGGUUGGAUCAAUUGGUCUCUACCAAGAUUCCUUCUUGUUUUAAGAUGCUGCUGAUACAAUAACAAA